rnacentral:rRNA from 1 species
GGCGCAGGUGGAGGGGCUCGCGGCCUAUCAGCUAGUUGGCGGGGUAACGGCCCACCAAGGCGAUGACGGGUAGCUGGUCUGAGAGGAUGGCCAGCCACAUUGGGACUGAGAUACGGCCCAGACUCCUACGGGAGGCAGCAGUGGGGAAUCUUGCGCAAUGGUCGAAAGACUGACGCAGCGACGCCGCGUGCGGGAGGAAGCCCUUCGGGGUGUAAACCGCUGUUACUCGGGACGAAUCUCCUGUUUCGACAGGAUUGACGGUACCGGGGGAGGAAGCACCGGCUAACUCUGUGCCAGCAGCCGCGGUAAUACAGAGGGUGCGAGCGUUGUCCGGAAUCACUGGGCGUAAAGGGCGCGUAGGCGGCUUCUCACGCGUGCGGUGAAAGCCCGGGGCUUAACUCCGGGUCUGCCGUGCGAACGGGGAGGCUUGAGUCUGGUAGAGGUCGAUGGAAUUCCGGGUGUAGCGGUGGAAUGCGUAGAGAUCCGGAAGAACACCGGUNGCGAAAGCGGUCGACUGGGCCAGAACUGACGCUAAGGCGCGACAGCGGGGGGAGCAAACAGGAUUAGAU